rnacentral:rRNA from 1 species
UCGGGGUGUAAAGCCCUUUUCGACGGGACGAUAAUGACGGUACCGUCGGAAGAAGCCCCGGCUAACUACGUGCCAGCAGCCGCGGUAAUACGUAGGGGGCGAGCGUUGUCCGGAUUCAUUGGGCGUAAAGCGCGCGCAGGCGGCUGUGCGAGCCCGGCGUGAAAGCCCCCGGCUCAACCGGGGGAGGUCGUCGGGGACCGCACGGCUAGAGGCCGGUAGGGGCGAGCGGAAUUCCCGGUGUAGUGGUGGAAUGCGUAGAGAUCGGGAGGAACACCAGUGGCGAAGGCGGCUCGCUGGGCCGGUCCUGACGCUCAGGCGCGAAAGCGUGGGGAGCGAUCCGGAUUAGAUACCCGGGUAGUCCACGCUGUAAACGAUGGGCACUAGGUGUGGGGGGAGUCGAAUCUCCCUGUGCCGAAGCCAACGCGUUAAGUGUUCCGCCUGGGGAGUACGGCCGCAAGGCUAAAACUCAAAAGAAUUGACGGGGGCCCGCACAAGCAGCGGAGCAUGUUCUUUAAUUCGAUGCAACGCGAAGAACCUUACCUGGGCUUGACAUGGUGCUGCAAGCGCACGGAAACGUGUGACCUUCGAGGGUGCACCACAGAUGCUGCAUGGCUGUCGUCAGCUCGUGUCGUGAGAUGUUGGGUUAAGUCCCGCAACGAGCGCAACCCCCGUGGCGUGUUGCCAGCAUUAAGUUGGGGAC